UCAUGAUGGGUGACCCCCUGGGAAGUUUUCUAAUUUUUUUUUAAAAUUCAGAUGUGAGCAGCAGGUCAGGAGCUGGAGUAAUUCGAGAGAAAUUUAAUGUAUACGGAAUGGUUGGGAAACCAUACGAGGUCACAUAGAAUGCGACAGGCUAGACUAGAAAAGAAACAGAAAGUGCAGUGCAGUUUUGGAAUUUGGAUAAGUUUGAAUAGCGUCUGACGGUAAUUUGCGGGUCAGUUGAUACUAAUUAUAUGUGUAUAUGUAUAUGAACAUGAAUGGUAUCUCCUAUGUCAGGAUAUCGACGGAAAAUGAAAGGAAAACUUAUGAUAAGGAAUUUUGCUAUGUUGUGCACGGAGUUGAAAAGAAGAACUGUUGCCUUAUAAGGAGCCCCUUAAAGGGGGGGGGGGGGGGAGGCCAUAUUAGGCUUACAAGGAAUAACGAUGAACGAAAUGAGCGUCACCACAUGAAGUCAAAGACAAGUAUGCCUGUAUCGAGAGAUACGAGAAGAGACUAAGGAAGAGUUGUAGUAAGAAUCUAAAAGUCUGACUUUUGUUAAGAUACGGUCACGAAACAGUAACCGAAAAGAGAUGACCUGAGAAGGACAAGGAAAAUAUGUCGGCCCAGCGGAUUAGAAAACUCAUGGCACAGAAUAAGGACCCAUAUAAGGACGGAGAGACUCGAUUAUAUGAAAUGGGCAUGGAGAAACGGGCAACUAUAAAAGAAACCCCCUCCCGAAGUGCUACGAGUCCCCAAAAGGCCAGUUGAACAUUCGAGGACGAAUGUUCUAAAGGGGGGGGGGGGGGAGGAGGAUGUUAUAGCCCGUAUUUUGUAUGUUUGGAUAAUUCAGAGUCGUCGUGGGAAGUUAAGGGCGAAACCAAUUUCAAAAUUAUAUUAAUGCACAAGUUGUUAUAAAUAUUAUUUAUGACUGUUAUUAGUAUGGAAAUAUUGUGAGAGGCUAAGGAUAAGGAAUUUGCAAAAUGGCCAAUGAAACUAAUGUGGAAGGUCAGGGGCAAAAUAGUAAUAUUGAGAAAAGUCGAGGGGCAAAAUGGGAAUUUUACAAAAGUUUCAUGAAAAUUCCAAAAAAAAAAAAAAAAAAAAGAAGGAUGACAAAUAAGUCAUCCUUGCUAUAAAUUGAAGAAAUUUCUAGAAAAGAAGAAAGAAAAAUAAAAUAAGAUAGGCAUGUGCCAUGCACAUGAUCUCUUAAUAAAUAUGGCACAUGGAAGAAAAUUCAUCAUAUGCCUUGAGAAAGUUCAUGAAAACUCGAGAGAAGGGAAAGAACAAGGAGAGAAACAAAGGACCAAUUUCGGCCAUGGUCUCCAAUUUUUGUCUCUUGAAAGUUUGUCCCAAAAAUUAUUUUCUUGUUGUAUUCCUACCAAUUCAAGGGUCCUCUACAACAUGGUGGAGUUGUUUUGGAAGAUGGAGGGCUUGUUUCAUCAAUUUGACACCUUAGCCAAGUGAAGGAGUUUGGAAGAAAAGGUAAGAAUUCAAUCUUCUUUUAUGUAUUAUGGAUGCUUGUGGAUGUUGUGGUGUGUAGAAAUUCAUGGAAAUCAUGAAAAUAAUGUGUGUUGUAAGUAAGGCCGUGUGGUGGUGUUGGGCCGUGUGUAUGUUGUGAUGAAAGUCAUGAAUUAAUGUUAAUUAGCAUGUUUUGAAUGUUGUAGUGUGAAGAAAAGAAUGAAAAUUUUCCUUAGGUGUGUGUUGGGUGUGGGACGAAUGGCCCCUCUUGGUGUGUUGAAAAAUAAACAAAUUGUCGUUAGCGUUUUAGUUGCCGUCGUUACGAAUUCUAUGAUGAGAAGUGCAAAUUUAGUGACUCAAAAUAAUGUUAUGUUGGUUGUGGGAUGAUUUUGGAAUUUAUGUGAAUUUUAUGUAAUUUUUGUAUUUAGGAGAAUUGUAUUGUUAAUGUGUGGGGUAAUGGUAUAAGUUAUGAAUUUGGAAGAGAAGAAUGUGUUUGGUGUAGUUCUCGGAUUUGGAGGCAAUUUCGGGAGAGUUGGAGCCUUGUUUGAGUUGUUUGAAAUAUUGUGUGAAUUGAAUUUGAUAUUGAAGUGUUGCUAGGAUAAUUGUUGGUAUUGUUGAUAGAUUGGCUGGGUUGUAUUCCCGGAUUACUGUUGGUGUUGAUUUGGGCCGAGCCAUAUUUUCGGGUUGGUACAUUUACAGGGGAGAUGCUGCCGAAAUUUCGGCAGAAUAUAAAUGAAUAUAUUGAAAGGGUGAGGCAAGUACUUGACGAAGGAACUAAUGAAUGGAUGAACUCUCUUGAAUGUAGAUUAACAAGUUGGAGGCACAAGUGUAACUAGUUGGUCGCGGCGCAGGUAUGUAAGGCUUACCCUUUCUUUCUUUGGCAUGUCCUAGAGCCAAGUAAGGUAUAAUGUGAUAUGCUGCCUUGGGGUAACUCUGUUCUGUGGUGCUGAGUCUGAUUAUGAUUCUAAUUCACUUUGUGACCUGAGUUUGUGAUCCUAGUUCAUCCCUUGAUAUAAGUAUUUGAUAUAAGUAUUUUGAUAUAAGUAUGUUGGUACAAGUAUUCUGAUAUACGUAUUUUGAUAUAAGUAUUCUGAUAUAAGUAUUUUGAUAUAAGUGUCUUGAUAUAAGCAUUUUGAUAUCAGUCUUCUGAUAUAAGUGUGUCGAUAUGAGUAUUUUGAUAUAAGUAUUCUGAUGUAAGUAUGCUGAUAUAAGUAUUCCGAUAUAAGUAUCCUCAUAUGAGAAUUCCGAAAUCUGUAUCCUGAUAAGAGCAUUCUGAUAUGUUUAUUCGGGUUCGAGAACUUCUGUAAGAUUUAAUGUCCCUAACUCCCGUAUACGAUCUCGGAUUGCUCUGAAAUGUUCGAAGAGGUUUCUGUAUCAAGACGGCUAUAACUUUCUUAUACGUAAGUAUGGUUUCAAAAUCUCUAUUUGAUCUGAUUCGUAAGGACAUCUGAAGGUGUCUGAUGUGACUAUGAUUCUGAUUCCCCGAAAAAAGGCUUCUGAAACGCUUAUAAAGCGUUCUGUACUUCGAACGCUCGUAACUUUCUCAUACUACGCCGGAUUGACCUGAAAUCUGUUCCGAGCCUCCACGUAUCGGUAAGUACACUGGUCUGUCGAGUAUUGAUUUCUAUGCAUGUGGUUUCUCACUACUCUGCUCGUGCAUGUGCUAUGAUCCCUUUCACCGGAUCCCGGGCCGGUAUGUAUCGUGCGGAUGGUUCGCCGAGUCCUCUGUUGAGGGCUGGGUUCCAUAUAUGAAUUCCGAAGUAUGAUGUGUCCGGUUCCGGGGUACUGUGUUAUAUGUCCGUCCCCGGUUACCGAGGAUAUAUAUUAUGAAGUAUGAUGUGUCCGGGCUCGGGGUGUCGUGUUAUCUGUCCGCCCCCGGGUACCGUGGUUAUGUUAUGAUGUGUGACGGAGAUCGGAGCAAAUUUUCUGAAAUAUGAUGUGUUGUGGCGCCCAAGGGUAGGAGUGGCGACCACGUUCCUAUGUUAUCGUGCGCAUCCCUUGGCAUUGUUCACCGGUUCCUCGGCGUGUUACCUGUUCCCGAGGUUACCAUGUAAAUGAUAGGAUGUGACCGGUCCCUCGGCGUGUUAUUUGUCCCCGAGGUUACCGUGUGUAUGAUAUGGUAUUUGUCCCGGCGUGGUAUAUGUCCCCGGGGUUACCGCGUAUGUGAUAUAAUAUCUGAUCCCGAUAUGCAUGACUUGUGUUGGAGAGUAAGCAUUCUGACCUUCCGUAUAUUCUGUAUUCCGUUAGCUAUAUGACAUCAUCUGAGUAAUCUGUACGUUCUGUAUUCCGUCUGAUAUAUGACAUCCUCUGAGUAAUCUGUACGUUCUGUAUCCCGCCCGAUAUAUGGCAUCAUUCGAGUGUUCUGUACGUUCUGUAUUCCGUCCGAUAUGUGACAUCAUCGGAGCAAUCAGUACGUUCUGUACUCAGUCUGACGUAUGACAUUAUCUGUGCGUUCUGUACGUGCCACACUCCUUCUGAUAUCUGAUAACGGUAUGUAUGAUCUGUGUCUGGAAAGUGAGUAUGUCAGCAUUCCAUACGCUCUGUAUGAUUUGUACGGUCUGUAUGAUCCGUAUUGGUCUGUACGAUCUGUGUCGGCCUGCAUGAUCUGUAUUGGUCUGUAUGAUCUGUGUCUGAGAAGUAAGUAAUUCGGCAAUCUGGAUAAUAUGCUUACCCUUUGUACUAUUUGUUUCGAUUAUGGUUCUGCUUUCUGUAUUUCAUGCCUUACAUACUCAGUACAUAUUCCGUACUGACCCCCUAUUCUUCGGGGGCUGCGUUUCAUGCCGCGCAGGUACUCCCAGAUGAGUUGAAGAUAUUAUAGAAGAUGUUCCAGCGAAGAUGGCAAACUCCAUUUGCUCCUGGAGUGCUGCUGAGUCAGAGUACCCGGAGACACAUCCCGAAGACGACACUCGGAAGGAACCCGAAGACUUCAUCGAAUCCUUAUACACUUUUAUACUUACGAGUUAGAAGAACCGGGAAGUUGCAAACUAUCUUGGACCCGUUCAAAAUAGGGCGUAACAUGAAGGUGAUCAAUAGCUCAACAUAUUUAGGAAGGAACUGUGUGGUCUCUCUUUGAAGAUAAAGAUUCCAACAAUACAGGAGAUAAUGUUGCUAGGGAUAGAAUAAAAUUCAUUUCACCAGAAUUCUUUUUCACACGUGAUCUUCAACAGAAUAGUGAAACUGAUGUUCAACAAAUUCGGCCAAAUGGUAAUUUGGCGGAUGUAUUUACCAAGACAUUGCCAACAUCAAUAUUCAGAAGUUGAUCUGCAUGAUUCAAAUAUGCCCUUGCCGAGAUAAAAAUGAUGUUCUCGUCAGGGGGAGUGAAAUACGCGCUGCACUCUUUUUCCCUUAACCAAGGUUUUGUCCCAAUUGGGUUUUCCUGGUAAGGUUUUUAAUGAGGCAGCUCUCAAUGCGUAUCACAAAAUGUAUGUACUCUUUUUCCUUCGCUAGGAUUUUUCCUACUGGGUUUUCCUAGUAAGAUUUUAACGAGCAGCAAGCAAUACGUAUUAUGAAUAACUGUGUACUUUUUAGAUUUUCAUUCGAAUUUUUCUUUUACAUGGACAUCCAAGAGGGAGUGUUGUAAAUAAAUUAGUGUGGAUGCCAUGUCCAUGUAUUGUAGCACUAUGAUCUCUCCAAGUCUUUGAGGUUAUAAAUAGCCUCUUUCAUUUAUGAAAGAAGACACCCAAAAAAUAGAAAGAAUUAUUAUACUACACUUGCUACUUUCCCUCUUUCUCUCUGUGUG